rnacentral:rRNA from 1 species
UACGGAGGUGGCAAGCGUUGCUCGGAAUCACUGGGCGUAAAGGGCGCGUAGGCGGGGAGGUAAGUCGGGUGUGAAAUCCCUCGGCCCAACCGAGGAACUGCGCCCGAGACUGCUUCUCUUGAGUCCCGGAGAGGAAGGUGGAAUUCCCGGUGUAGCGGUGAAAUUCGUAGAUAUUCGCAAGAACACCAGUGGCGAAGGCGGCUCACUGGCCCGGUACUGACGCUGAGGUGCGAAAGCGUGGGGAGCAAACAGG